rnacentral:rRNA from 1 species
UGGGGAAUCUUGCGCAAUGGGGGCAACCCUGACGCAGCCAUGCCGCGUGAACGAUGAAGGCCUUAGGGUUGUAAAGUUCUUUUACCCGUGACGAUGAUGACGGUAACGGGAGAAUAAGCUCCGGCUAACUUCGUGCCAGCAGCCGCGGUAAUACGAAGGGGGCUAGCGUUGUUCGGAAUUACUGGGCGUAAAGCGCGCGCAGGCGGUUCGAUAAGUUAGGGGUGAAAUCCCCGGGCUCAACCCGGGAACUGCCUUGAAGACUGUCGAGCUAGAGGACGAGAGAGGUGAGUGGAAUUCCCAGUGUAGAGGUGAAAUUCGUAGAUAUUGGGAAGAACACCGGUGGCGAAGGCGGCUCACUGGCUCGUUUCUGACGCUGAGGCGCGAAAGCGUGGGGAGCAAACA